rnacentral:rRNA from 1 species
UACGUAGGGUGCAAGCGUUGUCCGGAAUUAUUGGGCGUAAAGGGCUCGUAGGCGGUUUGUCGCGUCGGGAGUGAAAUCCACUGGCUUAACUGGUGGCUUGCUUUCGAUACGGGCAGACUGGAGGUAUGCAGGGGAGAACGGAAUUCCUGGUGUAGCGGUGGAAUGCGCAGAUAUCAGGAGGAACACCGGUGGCGAAGGCGGGUCUCUGGGCAGUAACUGACGCUGAGGAGCGAAAGCGUGGGGAGCGAACAGG